AUUGAACGCUGGCGGCAGGCCUAACACAUGCAAGUCGAACGAGUGGCGGACGGGUGAGUUAUGUCUGUGAAACUGCCUGAUGGAGGGGGAUAACUACUGGAAACGGUAGCUAAUUCCGCCUUCCAUCAGAUGGUCCUAGAUGGGAUUAGCUAGUUGGUGGGGUAACGGCUCACCAAGGCGACGAUCCCUUGCUGGUCUGAGAGGAUGACAAGUCACACUGGAACUGAGACACGGUCCAGACUCCUACGGGAGGCAGCAGUGGGGAAUAGUGCACAAUGGGCGCAAGCCGGAUGCAGCCAUGCCGCGUGUAUGAAGAAGGCCUUCGGGUUGUAAAGGACUUUAAGCGGGGAGGCGUUACCAGCAGAAUAAGCACCGGCUAACUCCGUGCCAGCAGCCGCGGUAAUAC
rnacentral:rRNA from 1 species